rnacentral:rRNA from 1 species
UACGAAGGGGGCUAGCGUUGUUCGGAAUUACUGGGCGUAAAGCGCGCGCAGGCGGUCCUUUAAGUCAGGGGUGAAAGCCCAGAGCUCAACUCUGGAACUGCCUUUGAAACUAGAGGACUUGGGUACGGGAGAGGUGAGUGGAAUUCCGAGUGUAGAGGUGAAAUUCGUAGAUAUUCGGAAGAACACCAGUGGCGAAGGCGGCCUGCUGGGCAGUAGCUGACGCUGAGGCGCGACAGCGUGGGGAGCAAACAGG